AGAUAUAUUAGAUUUUAGAAAAAUAUUAGAAUCACCAUGUCGGAUGAAGAUAUGACAAAAUAACCAAAAUAAACUCUAUAGAUCUUGAGAUGUUAUGAAAUUUUGUAUUUGGCAACUUUUUUAUUUGAUUUCAUCUUGUCAUGCAAAACCGCGUUUUAAAUUGAAAAUUUUAAAUUUUGAUUUUUUGAAACAACCUCGGAUGGAAAAACUCUCUAUAUAAACUUUGU
rnacentral:lncRNA from 1 species